AUACCAUAUUUCAACGAUUUAGAUUGGGUCCGAUCAUCUAAUUUCAUCUAAUCAAAAUCUAAUUAGGACCUAAAUGAUCCAAAAUUUGACUAUCAGAUCAAAUCGGAUUCGAAGUGAUAGGACCGAGGUUUCUUUAUCGAUUUCAUAAAAUCAAGUGGAGAGAGAAAAUUAGAGGAGAGAGAAUUCAUGAGGUACAAUUCGAAUUGAUCAGGUGACACAAUCCAACAUUUCGAUUGGUCCAAUAUCUCGAUUGAUGAAAUCAACAUGAUCAAAUCAUAUGAUUAAAUCGGGAUCAUGGAUAAUCAAAUUGAGAAAUAUCAGAUCUGAUCAAGGUGAGUGCUAGUACACUGUCCGACAAUCAUGGAUUAGGAUUCUUCAUUAGAAUCAGAUCAGGAC
rnacentral:lncRNA from 1 species